GACGAACGCUGGCGGCGUGCUUAACACAUGCAAGUCGAACGGAAAGGCCCUGCUUUUGUGGGGUGCUCGAGUGGCGAACGGGUGAGUAACACGUGAGUAACCUGCCCUUGACUUUGGGAUAACUUCAGGAAACUGGGGCUAAUACCGGAUAGGAGCUCCUGCUGCAUGGUGGGGGUUGGAAAGUUUCGGCGGUUGGGGAUGGACGCGCGGCUUAUCAGCUUGUUGGUGGGGUAGUGGCUUACCAAGGCUUUGACGGGUAGCCGGCCUGAGAGGGUGAACGGCCACAUUGGGCCUGAGAUACGGCGCAGAGUCCUACGGGAGGCAGCAGGGGGGAAUAUUGCACAAUGGGCGGAAGCCUGAUGCAGCAACGCCGCGUGCGGGAUGACGGCCUUCGGGUUGUAAACCGCUGUCGCCUGUGACGAAGCGGGAGUGACGGUAAUGGGUAAAGAAGCACCGGCUAACUACGUG
rnacentral:rRNA from 1 species